rnacentral:misc_RNA from 1 species
GAUGAAGAACGCAGCGAAAUGCGAUAAGUAAUGUGAAUUGCAGAAUUCAGUGAAUCAUCGAAUCUUUGAACGCACAUUGCGCCCGCCAGUAUUCUGGCGGGCAUGCCUGUUCGAGCGUCAUUUCAACCAUCAAACCCCCGGCUUGUGUUGGGGACCUGCGGCUGCCGCAGGCCCUGAAAAGCAGUGGCGGGCUCGCUGUCACACCGAGCGUAGUAGCAUACAUCUCGCUCUGGGCGUGCUGCGGGUUCCGGCCGUUAAACCACCUUCAUAACCCAAGGUUGACCUCGGAUCAGGUAGGAAGACCCGCUGAACUUAAGCAUAUCAAUAAGCGGAGGA